GACGAACGCUGGCGGCGUGCCUAAUACAUGCAAGUAGAACGCACAGUUUAUACCGUAGCUUGCUACACCAUAGACUGUGAUUUGCGAACGGGUGAGUAACGCGUAGGUAACCUGCCUGGUAGCGGGGGAUAACUAUUGGAAACGAUAGCUAAUACCGCAUAAUAUUGAUUAUUGCAUGAUAAUUAAUUGAAAGGUGCAAUUGCACCACUACCAGAUGGACCUGCGUUGUAUUAGCUAGUAGGCGAGGUAACGGCUCACCUAGGCGACGAUACAUAGCCGACCUGCGAGGGUGAUCGGCCACCCUGGGACUGUGACACGGCCCAGACUCCUACGGGAGGCAGCAGUAGGGCAUCUUCGGCAAUGGGCGAAAGUCUGACCGAGCAACGCCGCGUGCGUGAAGAAGGUUUUCGGAUCGUAAAGCUCUGUUGUAAGAGAAGAACGGGUGUGAGAGUGGAAAGUUCACACUGUGACGGUAUCUUACCAGAAAGGGACGGCUAACUACGUG
rnacentral:rRNA from 1 species